GGCAGCAGCUAAGAAUAUUCCGCAAUGGACGAAAGUCUGACGGAGCGACGCCGCGUGGAUGAUGAAGGCCGGAAGGUUGUAAAAUCCUUUUAUGACUGAGGAAUAAGGAAGUUGAGAGAAACGGCUUCUGGUGACUGUAGGUCAUGAAUAAGCAACGGCUAAUUACGUGCCAGCAGCCGCGGUAACACGUAAGUUGCGAGCGUUGUUCGGAAUUAUUGGGCGUAAAGGGCAUGUAGGCGGUUCUGCAAGUCUGGUGUGAAAUACCGGGGCUCAACCCCGGAACUGCGUUGGAAACUGCAGAACUUGAGUCGCUGAGGGGCAGCCAGAAUUCCAGGUGUAGGGGUGAAAUCUGUAGAUAUCUGGAAGAAUACCAAUGGCGAAGGCAGGCUGCCAGCAGAUGACUGACGCUGAGGUGCGAAGGUGCGGGGAGCAAACAGGAUUAGAUACCCUGGUAGUCCGCGCAGUCAACUAUGUACACUAGGUGUCCGUUCAUGAGAAUGGGUGCCGAAGCAAACGCGAUAAGUGUACCGCCUGGGGAGUAUGCCCGCAAGGGUGAAACUCAAAGGAAUUGACGG
rnacentral:rRNA from 1 species